rnacentral:rRNA from 1 species
CCUACGGGAGGCAGCAGUGAGGAAUAUUGGUCAAUGGACGAGAGUCUGAACCAGCCAAGUAGCGUGAAGGAUGACUGCCCUAUGGGUUGUAAACUUCUUUUAUAAAGGAAUAAAACGAGGCACGUGUGCCUUUUUGCAUGUACUUUAUGAAUAAGGAUCGGCUAACUCCGUGCCAGCAGCCGCGGUAAUACGGAGGAUCCGAGCGUUAUCCGGAUUUAUUGGGUUUAAAGGGAGAGUAGAUGGGUUGUUAAGUCAGUUGUGAAAGUUUGGGGCUCAACCGUAAAAUUGCAAUUGAUACUGGCAGUCGUGAGUACAGUUGAGGUAGGCGGAAUUCGUGGUGUAGCGGUGAAAUGCUUAGAUAUCACGAAGAACCCCGAUUGCGAAGGCAGCUUACUAAACUGUGACUGACGUUGAUGCUCGAAAGUGUGGGUAUCAAACAGGAUUAGAUACCCCUGUAGUC